CAUGCAAUUCCAUUGACAUUAUCUCUUGAUUACAUGUGACAGUGCUCCAAGCGCAGUAUAGAACUGCUUUUAGUUGAACAAUGCCAUGAAAAUGUAAUCCAAGUGCUUUUAAUACCAGAAGAGGACGUUCUUUCCUUCCCCAUUCCAUUAUUGUGACAUCACGGGGACAUGAGGUACAUGUGUGGCAGGGUGACUUGGGUUGGUGAGAGCGCAUUGGGAUGCCUUGGUGGAUCCUGUUGAGCCUUGGCGGGCCCAUGUUGGUUAGUGCAUACAGCACUGAGUUUAUCAAUGUUUUGAAGAGAUCUAAACUCGUCCGAACACGUACAGAUAUGGAGAGAGCCCACUGCACGAACCCAGCCUUGCAGAGCGCUUACAGGAAUGCUGAGUCAUUAAUUACCUCCAGCACCCACUGGGAAGCAUCUCUUCAGCCUGCAUCCAACAGCAGAUGCCUGACAUGGGCUUUUGUGAAGCUGAAUAGCUGUGAACCACUUUGCAGUCCUCAUCUGAAUGGGCUCCUAUAGACUGAAUAAUAUUACUAUUUUACACGGCAGCACUGCUAUUGAGAGUCCUCUGCGUUCUAGCUGUUCUUGAGAGUAACCACAUGCUGCUCAUCGCAGCCUCAGAAUCUGAAACUGCUAAGCUCACAGUUAGCUUAGGUAUUUUCACUCA